UACGGAGGAUGCAAGCGUUAUCCGGAUUUAUUGGGUUUAAAGGGUGCGCAGGUUGUUUGAUAAGUCAGUGGUGAAAGUCUGUCGCUUAACGGUAGGAUUGCCAUUGAUACUGUUAGACUUGAAUAUGGAUGAGGUAGGCGGAAUGUGUAGUGUAGCGGUGAAAUGCAUAGAUAUUACACAGAACACCGAUUGCGAAGGCAGCUUACUAAUCCAUCAUUGACGCUGAGGCACGAAAGCGUGGGGAUCAAACA
rnacentral:rRNA from 1 species